AGUUGCUGAACAUGGCAUAAGAUGAUCACCCAACUCUUGUGCGUGUGACAGCGGCUAU
rnacentral:pre_miRNA from 1 species